UAAGGAAUAUUGGGCAAUGGGCGAAAGCCUGACCCAGCAACGCCGCGUGGAGGAUGACGGAUUUCGGUUCGUAAACUCCUUUUGAGGGGGACGAGGAAGGACUGUACCCCUAGAAAAAGUCACGGCUAACUACGUGCCAGCAGCCGCGGUAAAACGUAGGUGGCAAGCGUUAUCCGGAUUUACUGGGCGUAAAGCGUGCGUAGGCGGAACAAUAAGUCAGCGGUGAAAGCCCGCAGCUUAACUGCGGAAUUGCCGUUGAUACUGUUGUUCUUGAGUACGUUUGACGUGGGCGGAAUGUGCCGUGUAGCGGUGAAAUGCUUAGAUAUGGCACAGAACACCGAUAGUGAAGACAGCUCACGAAGACGAAACUGACGCUGAGGCACGAAAGCGUGGGGAUCAAAC
rnacentral:rRNA from 1 species